rnacentral:sRNA from 1 species
GGAGGAGGGUUCCCCUUUCUCCACAACCUCUUCAGCAUAUGUUGUCACUUAAGUUUCCCCAAAUAGAGGAGGACUGGUUUUAGGUCAAGGGUACAUGAGUAGCUGCGCUCCCCUGCUAGAACCUCCAAACAAGCUCAAGGUCAAUAGAAGAAAUUUUUAAUGUUAAUAUCCAUCAGUAUCUCUAACAGAACAAAGCAACAUGUUAACUACUU